CUGGAGGUAUCAGAAGUGCGAAUGCUGACAUAAGUAACGAUAAAGCGGGUGAAAAGCCCGCUCGCCGGAAGACCAAGGGUUCCUGUCCAACGUUAAUCGGGGCAGGGUGAGUCGACCCCUAAGGCGAGGCCGAAAGGCGUAGUCGAUGGGAAACAGGUUAAUAUUCCUGUACUUGGUGUUACUGCGAAGGGGGGACGGAGAAGGCUAUGUUGGCCGGGCGACGGUUGUCCCGGUUUAAGCGUGUAGGCUGGUUUUCCAGGCAAAUCCGGAAAAUCAAGGCUGAGGCGUGAUGACGAGGCACUACGGUGCUGAAGCAACAAAUGCCCUGCUUCCAGGAAAAGCCUCUAAGCAUCAGGUAACAUCAAAUCGUACCCCAAACCGACACAGGUGGUCAGGUAGAGAAUACCAAGGCGCUUGAGAGAACUCGGGUGAAGGAACUAGGCAAAAUGGUGCCGUAACUUCGGGAGAAGGCACGCUGAUAUGUAGGUGAAGUCCCU
rnacentral:rRNA from 1 species